AUGAUUCUGAAGGCAACCAUUCUGGGGUUUACUAGGGAAAGAGAGAGGGAAAACAAUCUAUUCCCUCUCUCCAUCUUUUUGGCUCCAUUCCAUCUCUAUCACACUCUGGUCCUGAAUUCAGAGAAUAGAUUUUUCCUACUCUUCAGAGGAACUUACAUGACUGAAGCACCUGUUUACCAGAAAGGAUGCUAUUUUAGUAUAACAAGUUUAAGUAUUCAGAGAUGCUGAAUUCUGGACUCAGCAAAGGAUAGGACCACAGCAAUUAAUCCCUUCCAGUUCACACAGACUAUAUAAGCUUUAAGCUACUCUGACUUCAAGAUUGGUUUACUGGAGGACCCAAUACAAUCAAUAAUUUCCCCUAGCCUCAGGAGUCUCAUCUCUAAAGUGAGGAGAAGGCAUCAUUUGACAAAAAGAUCUGUGUAUGAAUAAAACAAGUUGUUUCCUCAUUUGUUGAAAGCAAGAGCAAAAAUGACCCAAUUUUUGGACCAAAGAGGAGCCAGUUUUUUCUGCUAACAGUCCAGUUGCACAUAUGAGGAAAUAUGAUGUAAAGAAGGGAGAGCAAAUUUUGGAAGUUAUAUCAUCUUAGACAGAAGAUGCAUAUUUUGGGCCACAUUUGAAGAAAGAGAAGAAGAAUAUAUCUUUAAGGCAGACAGAAAGCUCCCCACUGGUUUCUUUCAGGAUCACACUGCCAGAGUAGUGUUUGAGAGGCCACAGAAAUGGUCUGGAAAGCUGACAGUUGGGAUUUUCAGUUACUUUUCCACUGGAAAGAACAUAGAACUUGGAAUCAUGGGGCCCAAAAUCCAAAUUCUGGCUCUUCUAUUUAUUAUUUAUAAAUACUACCUGACUUUGAGGAAGUCAUUUAACCUCUUUGGACUCAGUUUCUUUAUCUGUAAAACAAAGAGGUUGGAGUUGAGGACUUCUAAAAUUUCUUCUAGUUCUUAUUUAUGACCCUAUGAUCCCAGAAGGCCCAGACAUAGAAGUUCAACUGUGAAAAAUAGUAUUUCCCAGCUUUGAAACCUAUGACUAAUGGAUGGAUGGUUGGAGUAAUGAUCUACUUAAUCCAUAAUCAGGAUCAUAUUCAUAAGUACAAGCUGCUCCUCUAGGUAAAGGUAACAUCAUAAUUCUGGGGUGCGUGCUUGUUAAAAAAACAACAUCCAACAAACAACAACAACAAAACAAACUCUAUAUGGUAUUUAUUGAAAAAGAAAA
ensembl:lncRNA